AUGGAGCUAAGCGCAGCCACCCUCCUCUUCCUAUCCUUCGUCUCACUGACGAUUCUCGUGUCUUUGCUUAGCCGCAAAAAGACAGCAAGUUCCAAGGGGCGGAAGCCUCCCGGCCCACGGUGUCUCCCCUUCAUCGGAAGCCUCCUCCACCUCCGGACAGCGACGCCGCAGGUCGCUCUCCGGGACCUGGCCAAGAAGCACGGCCCGGUGAUGUACCUGCGGCUGGGCCAGGUGGACGCCGUGGUGAUCUCCUCGCCGGCGGCAGCGCAGGAGGUGCUCCGGGACAGCUCCCUCAACUUCGCGUCAAGGCCCACAAUUCUGGCCGCGGAGAUCGUGGGCUACGGGAGCGCCGACAUAGCCUUCGCGCCGUACGGCGCGUACUGGAGGACGCUGCGCAAGCUCUGCAUGGUGGAGCUCCUGAGCGCGCGAAAGGUGAGGCAGUUCGCGCCCAUCAGGGACAGCGAGACCAUGUCCCUCGUCAGGGAUGUCCGCGCCGCCGCCGCCGCCGGUGGAGGCGGCCAGCCCGUCAAUAUGAGGAAGCUGCUCGUGUCGUGCACGAACACGAUCACCGCAAGGGCAACGUUUGGCGACGGCUGCGACGCCGAGCUCCAAGAGCAGUUUCUGGCUGCGAUGAAUGUGCUGCUCACAUUAACUGGGGGAUUCUGCGUCGGGGACCUCUUCCCUUCGCUGUGGUUUGUGGACGUGGUCACUGGGCUGAGACGCUCGCUCUGGGGAGCGCGCCGGCAGUUCGACGCCAUCUUUGACAAGAUCAUCGCCAUCUGCGAGGCGCGGCGAGCGGAGAAAAAUACCGGAGACGAUGAGCUUCUGAGCGUCAUGCUUAGGAUCAAGGAUGAGGGGCAGCUUGAGUUCCCCAUCGGCAUCACAAACAUCAAGGCAAUAACAGUGGACUUGUUCACAGCAGGGACGGAGACGACGUCGUCAAUCCUGGAGUGGAUCAUGUCGGAGCUCAUGAGGAACCCGGAGGUGAUGGUGAAGGCUCAGGCGGAGGUGCGACAAACAUUGGACAACAAGAGUCUAGAAGACCAUGAGGUCCACAUGGAAAAACUGCGCUACAUGAAGAUGGUGAUCAAGGAGGGUCUGAGGCUGCACCCGGCGGCACCACUCCUGCUCCCCCGUGUCUGCCGGGAGACUUGCAACGUCAGUGGGUUUGAGAUCGUGGAGGGCUCCAGGGUCAUGGUCAAUGCGUGGGGGAUAGCGAGGAACCCCGAGUAUUGGCAUGACGCAGACGAGUUCAAGCCAGAGAGGUUUGAGGACAUUACCGUGGAUUACAGCGGUACACAAUUCGAGUACUUGCCGUUCGGGAGCGGGCGGAGGAUGUGCCCUGGCAGUACUUUUGGGUUGGCCACGCUGGAGCUCAUCUUGGCUCGGCUUCUGUACUUCUUCGAUUGGAGCCUCCCAGCCGGAAUGCGUCCGGAUGAGCUUGACAUGGACAUGACCGUCGGUGCAACACUAAGAAGAAGGAACCCACUUCACCUAGUAGCGACGCCGUAUAAUUUUCCGAUGAAAAUUUGA
rnacentral:rRNA from 1 species